rnacentral:rRNA from 1 species
UUCUAUGGAGAGUUUGAUCCUGGCUCAGGACGAACGCUGGCGGCGUGCCUAAUACAUGCAAGUCGAGCGGAUCUGAUGGAGUGCUUGCACUCCUGACGAUUAGCG